AACCAGACGCCAAUAUUGUCCCUUUCUUCCCCAUCUACAACUCCUCACCUCUCCUCACCUCUAACAGCAGUCUUGUUUCAAAAUUAGGGUUUUGAUCACUGGAAUUCAUCUUUAUCGAAUCACAGCAUCACCGACAAGGAACAAUAAGCGCUUGAGGUCGCUACAUUUUCCUUCUGGGUAUUGCCCUUUCGUCUUUUCUCUCACAUUUUCUGCGAUAUUCUAUUUCUUUACUCUCGUGGGUUUUGGAUUUCUUUAUUUUCCCGAGAAACUACAGGAAAAUAAUUAGAAAUAAAAAAAGAAAAAUUUAAGAUUAGAUGUUUUGGUUAUCUGGGUACUCAAAAUCAAGUUGUUGAGAUUGUAUUGGUGAUUUUGUUUAAUUUGAUGCGCGCGAAGAUUUUCUGAAUUGAGGAAAAUGGCAUGCCAUGCAAUUCAAUCGUGGACGUUUACUGGGCUAGUGGGUGGUUUUCUUGAUCUUGCUAUUGCUUUCCUUUUACUCUGUGGGUCAGCUCUUGUUUUCUUUGCCUCGAAAAUUUUGGGGGUUUUUGGUCUUCGUCUGCCAUGUCCUUGUGAUGGGCUUUUUGGCAACGUCAAUAGUAAUAAUUGCUUGCAGAGACGAUUAGUGGAUUACCCGUUAGAGAGAGUCUCUGCUGUUCAACUCUCAGUGAAGAGCAAGUUUCCUUUUGACUCAAUAUGGUCAAAGGAUCAAGGUUGUGAAUUGAAUUUGAAGCUCCUUGUGAAGAACAUUGAUGUUGAAGGGUGUGUUGAAUUGGAAGGAGAAGGGUUAUGCACAUCGUUUUCAGAUGCCAAGAAUACGCAGAACUUAGAUUUUAAAGACCCCGUUCAGAAAACUGAGUUUGGAGAAGUAAACUUCUCCACAACAAAAGAAAAAGGGUUUGAUAUCAAGGGGAAGGGCCCGACAAAUCAGAGGCCAAGAUCAAGUCUUAGGCAGCGCCGCAAAAGUGCUGUUGAUAAUGGAAAUUUUGGGUCAUCUGAGCCUUUGCAGUCAGAAAUGCUAUCUGCAUUACAGUUUCCUUCUGGAAUUGACACCAAUACUUUGGGGAAUGAAGUUAAAGAAGAGCAUGUGAAUUAUGAAGGGGAGACUCCCAUGGUCAUUAAUUGUGGGGAGAGAGCUUCACACGACUUUGAAUUGAAUGGACCUCUUGAAGAAAAUAAGCUUAUUGAUAAGGGUCCAUCAUUUGUUGAAGAAUUCAGAUGCAAUGCACAUGAUGAGUCAGGGUUUGAUGGCAAUGAUAAGAAUGCACUUAGAGUCUUAGAACAAGCACUCGAAGAAGAGCAAGCGGCUCGUGCUGCUCUGUAUCUUGAGCUUGAGAAAGAGAGAAGUGCAGCUGCUACUGCUGCUGAUGAGGCCAUGGCAAUGAUUUUGCGUUUACAAGAGGAGAAAGCAUCAGUCGAAAUGGAAGCUAUGCAGUAUGAAAGAUUAAUAGAAGAAAAAUCUGCUUAUGAUGCUGAAGAAAUGAACAUUCUUAAAGAAAUCCUUCUAAGAAGAGAGAGGGAAAAGUAUUUUUUGGAGAAGGAAGUUGAAGCUUAUAGGCAGAUGAUGUUUUCUAAGAGUGAACAAUUGGAGAAUGGAGUGCAUGGUAUAGCAGACAUGGAAGGAAAAAUGCUUAAUUCAAGUGAGGAUUCAGAAGCAUUGCUGCAUCAGCUUAGUGAAUCUAUCAGCAGCAAGGAAACUGUAAAUACCUCAAUGAAGUUUGCAGAUUACAAUGUGACAUCUGUUGAAAAUCAAAAUUGUAUUCUUUCUUUUGAGAAAGAAUUACCAAUUCCAGAAAGGGAUGAAGUUGUUGAAUUAUCCAAACAGGAACAUACUCAUGAUCUGCUAAAUGUUAACAAACUUCAUCCCUACAUAUCAAGAUUCUGCAAUGAUUGCAAUCAAGAGUUUCAGGAGAAGGGUGUGGUAUCCAUGGAUGGGAAUCUAUCUGCUCAAGAAAAGGUAGGGCAAAAAAUUGGGGCAUGUUUACAGUUUUGCGACUCAAGUAGUCCCAAACAAGAUUAUCAUCUUGAGAAAACCAUUGUAUUUGUGAGGGAAGACCAAGAGCAAAAUAGCAUUGCCAAUCUGUGCCUAGGAAGUGCAGAAAUGACUAAUGAAACUCAGAAGAAAGCUGAGAUGUGUAUUCUGUGUGAUGCUGAAAACCUCAGAAAGCAGAGAGAAGUUGUCGAUGGGAGAAGCAAAGACCCACAUAACCCAAUAUUUGAUAUAGAGCCUCAUGUUCACGAUGUUCAUGUAAUUGAUGAUGAGUCCAAUCCUUUUAAUGCAGUCGGUGAAAACAAAAGCGAACCCACUUCAAUUGAUGCUACCUCUAUAAUCUCAAGGGAAUGUGAUAUGGCAUCUGAACCUUUUGACAUCCAGUUGGAAACCAGGCCAGAUAUUUGCAAAAGCAGCUCAGGCAUAACCAGAGGGUUGCCUCUCUCAAAAAGAAAAGCUUUAAUUUCUGAUGUACGGAGAAAUUCCAUGUCUGCACUUGACUAUGAAAAAUUGAAGAUUGUCACUGAAGUUGGGUGGCUCCGAGACAGGCUAAGGAUUGUACAAGAGGGGAGGGAGAAGCUCAACUUCUCUGUGGAGCCUAGGGAAAGGGAAAAUGUUCAGUUGCAACUCUUAGAGGAUAUAGUGAGCCAGCUUCGUGAGAUUCGGCAGCUAACAGAACCUGGGAAGGCUUUGCGACAAAUUUCAUUGCCCCCUCCAUCCGCUAAGGUUCUGUCAAAGAAAAGGCGCUGCCGAAGCGUAUCUUUAGGUGUGCGUCAAAGUGCCUAAACUCAGGAACAUCUUCAAGAAGCAGGUGAUAAAGUCCUCUUCAAUGUCAUGUUGGUCAUUAAUCCAGCGCAGGAAGGGGUAAUCCCUUAACAUGAAUUUUCCAUGCUAGCUUCAAGGAUCACCUUGCAGCUUGCUAUAUUUCUUGUCCAUUGUACUUCAAUUUAAAUGGUUUUGGAGAACUCUUAAAACUCUCCGUAAGCGUUUGGAAGUAUUAGACUAUGAUUUGAUUCAAUUACUGGUAGUUGUCUGAAAGUGUUGGUCAAGGAAUGACACCUUUCCACACUAGCUUAGCAAAUAAGCAAUGUGUUAGCAGUUGACAGUGUGACCUCGGUUAAAUGGGGAGGAGAGAUGUCUUCACUUGCCCUCGUUAGGGAUUUUUAUAAUGGAUGUUGAAUAACUAGGAUGAUGGCUUGUGUGGUUGUCUUGUUGAUUGAAAAUAACAACUAGUUCCACAUGUCAUUGAGUAUGAAGGUUGUUUGUUUUCAUGAA